rnacentral:lncRNA from 1 species
UAAGUUUCAAUUAAGUGUUUAUUACAGGAAGCUCAUACUUUGGACAAUUUUGAGUUGCGUCGACAAGCCUAUGAAAUUCGUAGUUUGUCUCUAUUGACCCGAGAUGAUAACUAUGUCAGCGUAUAUAGUCUUUCGAAGCAAUUAAUCGACCAACUCGAGCUUGAGUUGCUCCCUAUAAUAAAAAAGUACCAAACGUCGAAGAAAAAGACUUACAACUCGUAUUAAGGUUUCAUGAAAAAUUCAUCAUUGGCAGCAUUGAUGGCACUCUCGUAACUUAAAAAGACCGGCUGAGCAUGAAGACUUCUUCUGUCGUAAGAAUUAUCAUGCUAGGAUGUGCAAUUGAAAAAAUAUCAUGUGCAAUUGAUUACAGAUGACAGUUUUAUUUUUAAUGAAGAUGUAAGAGAUCACUUAGAGGCUUUGACAAAUGCUGGUGAAGAAAUUGUUUUGUUCGGUGGUUCUGGAUAUGCUGAGCGGGCUAACCUUAUGACACCUAUAAAUAAUGCCCCGACAAUACUCCUGAAACAUAUUAUAACAUGCUUGCGCAACUCCGUAGAACGCCAAAUGGUUUGUUGAAGACGCUUCAGGUGUUUGUUAGUACACAGGGUCCUAGACUAUCAUCCUGAUAAAGUUGCAAUGCAUGUUGUAUUCUGCAUAACGUGUUCAACCGGGCUGGAAUGGAGGUAGUUAAUUUGACUGAAGAUGAAAACCUAGAGGAAGCUCAGGUGGCAGCCGAGACACAGAGAAGGCAACGUGCCAAAUCAUGAUGAUUUAAAUGUUGGACGGUCGCAAAGGCCUCAAAGGACAAAGAAAAAAAAGUCAAAGAUCUUGUGAAUAGAUUGUGGUGAUCGCGUCGACGUUAACUCCACCUCAGUGUGAGAUGUUAAACCUUAGGACUAAAUAUUUUAAUUAUCUAUGUAGAUCUAGUUAUAGCACAUACUAAGGAAUAAUAGGUAAUUUAGAGGUAUAGGUAUUAGUGAGUGUGUUGUUAUCAUACAGAAUUACCUACUUUGUGUAAUGUUAUACAAUAAAAUUGUAUAUAAUAAGCUAUUAUUACUUUAGGGUCUGCUAUUAACUUCAAAAUUGUAUUUUAUGAAUAAAUAACGGUUUUUUUAUUAUUAUUUAUAUUUAGUACAUAAGAACAUUGAAAAAAAAAAAGAUUGUAAUAUAAGCAAAACCAGAAAAGAAACAACGAAUAAUAAUAAUAUAACGUAUAAUAAUCUACUUUAAAACUUGAAAAUAUAAAAUUUCAAUUUAAA